UACGUAGGGUGCAAGCGUUGUCCGGAAUUAUUGGGCGUAAAGAGCUCGUAGGCGGUUUGUUGCGUCGGCUGUGAAAUCCCGAGGCUCAACCUCGGGUCUGCAGUCGAUACGAGCAAACUAGAGUGUUGCAGGGGAGACUGGAAUUCCUGGUGUAGUCGGUGAAAUGCGCAGAUAUCAGGAGGAACACCGGUGGCGAAGGCGGGUCUCUGGG
rnacentral:rRNA from 1 species